rnacentral:misc_RNA from 1 species
GGAAAAGGUUCAGGAGCUUCAAUGUUUGUCCAAUCCUUGAGGGGUGAUCCUUUCAGAGAUUUUAGCAUGAGCGUUUUGGCAGCCUAUAUACGUCCAAGCUCAAACUCAGAAAUUGUUAAGGUAAAUCUGUUGGCAUCAACUGACCAAGACAAAGGGCACUUGUACACUCGGCAUUCUCAUCCACUAUGUAGUAGCGGAGGCUGAUCUUUCUGCAGUCACAUUUCAUCAACUUAAAAAGGUACUUUAAUGGUUUCU